AUUCCAAUCGAACUCGGAGAUAGCUGGUUCUCCCCGAAAUAGCUUUAGGGCUAGCCUCGAUUUAGAUUAUUGGGGGUAGAGCACUGAAUGGGCUAGGGGGCCACAAAGCUUACUGAACCCUAUCAAACUGCGAAUACCAAUUAAUUGAUGAUCGGGAGUCAGACAGUGAGAGAUAAGUUCCAUUGUCGAAAGGGAAACAGCCCAGAUCCACGACUAAGGUCCCAAAAUACACGUUAAGUGGAAAAGGAUGUGCAGUUGCACAGACAACCAGGAUGUUGGCUUAGAAGCAGCCACUCAUUCAAAGAGUGCGUAAUAGCUCACUGGUCGAGUGAAUGUGCGCCGAAAAUAUACCGGGGCUAAACGUGAUACCGAAGUCUGGGGAUCAAGAAAUUGAUCGGUAGGGGAGCAACGCAUACGGACAGAAGCAGAAGCGGGAGCGACUGUGGACUGUAUGGGAGAGAGAAUGCCGGCAUGAGUAGCGAGAGCAAAGUGAGAAUCUUUGCCGUCGAAAGCCUAAGGUUUCCUGAGGAAGGCUCGUCCUCUCAGGGUAAGUCGGGACCUAAGCCGAGGACAAGAGUCGUAGGCGAUGGACAACAGGUUGAUAUUCCUGUACCGUACUUAAGCGUUUGACUGAAGCAGUGACACAGAAGGAUAGACAGACCGGGGGAAUGGUAGACUCCGGCCAAGCAGUGAGGCUGACAUGUAGUGAAGUACGCAUGUUAAGGCUGGGCUGUGAUGGGGACUGAAGAUUAGUAAGGAAGCUGUUGAAUUCACACUGGCGAGAAAAGCUGCUAAGGAGCGAGAGUAUGCCCGUACCGCAAACCGACACAGGUAGGCGAGGAGAGAAUCCUAAGACGAGCGGGAGAACCCUUGUUAAGGAACUCGGCAAAAUGACUCCGUAACUUAGGGAGAAGGAGUGCCUCGAGAGAGGCCGCAGAGAAUAGGCCCAAGCGACUGUUUACCAAAAACACAGGUCUGUGCGAAGUAGAGAUACGACGUAUACGGGCUGACGCCUGCCCAGUGCCGGAAGGUUAAGGGGAAGUGUUAGGGCAACCGAAGCACGGAACUUAAGCCCCGGUGAACGGCGGCCGUAACUAUAACGGUCCUAAGGUAGCGAAAUUCCUUGUCGGGUAAGUUCCGACCCGCACGAAUGGCGUAACGACUUGGGCACUGUCUCAACAAGGGACCCGGCGAAAUUGUAGUAUGUGUGAAGAUGCACAUUACCCGCGAUAGGACGGAAAGACCCCGUAGAGCUUUACUGUAGUUUAACAUUGGAUUUUGAUAACACAUGUACAGGAUAGGUGGGAGGCUGAGAAACCGGCACGCCAGUGCCGAUGGAGCCGCUGUUGGGAUACCACUCUUGUGUUAUUGGAGUUCUAACGAAGUGCCGUAAACCGGGCUUCGGACAGUGUUAGAUGGGCAGUUUGACUGGGGCGGUCGCCUCCGAAAGAGUAACGGAGGCGUCCAAAGGUUCCCUCAGAAUGGUUGGAAACCAUUCACAGAGUGCAAAGGCAGAAGGGAGCUUGACUGCGAGACCGAC
rnacentral:rRNA from 1 species